ensembl:lncRNA
CUUCACUUGGAGGUUUUUCUGUUCCUCACCUCCGUGGAAUAUGUUAGUUUUUAAAACUAAACAGGGGUUAAUUUGGUGUACAGGAAGCUAUAAGGACAAGACUAACCUAAUCUACUCUUCUUUCUAAUAGACACAAGUAAUCUUAUCUGUCAUUCCAUUAAAAAUACACCACAUUCUUCUGUGCUCCAGUUUGGAUAAUGACUCAAGAAAAGGCAGUCCGUUUCUGCAUCACAGCACCCGCACAGCUUCUAUAAAAUCAUCAAAACCAUGUUCUUCUGAAGGAGGACUUUUACCCCAUCAGCAGCUUCAAGAUCCAUCGACAAGUCAGGAGCACAGUAUCCCUGAAUUCCGGGCAGAGGAGGGGGCUGCUUUGGCUCACUUCCUUCCUCCUUCCCCAAACAGAAUCCAGCUCCUAUAUAAAAUUCAUAAAUUCUUGGCAGGAAAGAAAUCCUCCCAUUGGAAGGAACAGAUGUUCUACGAGUAACUUUUGCCAUCAUAACUCUAUUCCUAAUAUCAUACUUUUAAAGUGUGGGGGGAUGUUAACUUUUUUUUUUAAAUGUCAACAUGUUCUGGGCAGCUUUUCCAUCUCCAUCUGUGGCAUACACAUCACCAACCCUCCCACCACCCUUUUUUAAAUUUCCAGAGACUAGUUGGGAAUUGGAAAGAUAUUAAAAAGUGAAAGUGGAAAAUUCAAUUCAAGAAGUAUGCUAAUGUAUAAACUAAUGCAAAGUAACAUGAUAUUUCCCUCCCAGUUGUAAAUCUCAGAAACAUUCUUUUCCUUGUCCUCUUAGAACUUGGAGGGGUCUGCAAGACCUUUAACAGGCAGAAUGACCAAUUAAAUUCAGGGGUGAUUACUGGUAACAGAAUUCCUUGAGAGUAACCUAUUCAUAACAUUCCCCUUCUAAAGAAAGCCUCAAUUGGUGCUUCAAAUUCAAGAGGCUACCAGGCCAUUUUCACUUAGUUAUCACCUCGUUAAACUGCCCACCUUAAAUGCCCGUAUCCCAGGUGACCGCGGAGAAGGGUCAAGGUCAGUGGAUGCCUCUUACCUCGCCUGGAUAUAACUUUGGAAAGCAUGACCUCGCCUCUGUGGGGUUCCCUCGCCCAGGUACAGUGAUGCCCACUUGCAGCUGCUUUGGCGAGGGCCAGAGCGCCUGCUGGCUGUGGC